rnacentral:piRNA from 1 species
UCUACAGUCAGUGCCAAUGCACCGAUUCA